UUAUUGUCUCCCAGGUCCGCACAAAGGAAAGGACUAACACCAGCAGAAAUUGAGCGUCUUCUUCUGCAAUCAUCUGAUGAGGAAUAUUCUGCAGAUUUCUCCGACAGUAAUGAGGAAGCAGAAAUAAUUGAAACUGCGGAUCAUUCCAGCUAAUAUGAGCAGUCAUGUGUUGACGGGAAUGAAGUGAAACGAAUGCCACAUGAUGACUGCCAUUUUUAUAUUGUUGCAGUGCUGUAGAAGAUAUUUCCAUAAGACAACAAGGAGUGGAAACAAGCCAAAUAGCACAGUACAUCUGUCUUUAGGGCAACACAACAAGAGAUGCUUUCAAUUGCAUAACUGUCAUCUUAUUUAUUAGUUUGUGUAUUCCGAGGCAUCUUGCACUUUGCAUUGUACCCUAUGUGGGGAAUGUGCCAUCACCACAGGGUGAUUGUGAGUGGCAGUCUGUCCAUAUCACUGGAGGGCGGAGGCCAAUGGGGUGGCCUCACCCAUUUGCCCUGUGAGUGGACAGGGGUCCAUUCCUUCAGCAGGGUCUAAGCAGGCACGUUGGGGGAAGCAUGUGUUAGUUAUUGUGAGGUCUAGUGUAGGUGCAUGGCGGAACCUGUUAGGAAAACAACAUACAGGACUGGAAAAAAAUCCAUGUGUGCUCGAUAUGUCUGCUGAUAGGGCCUCAUAUGACAGUGAGAUGUGGACGACGCUCUGGCUGCAGCUAUUGAGCAUCCAGAGUCCAACUCUUGUAACAUGAUGCAUAUUUAGGUGAGCUAAUUGGCCACCCAGUAUCAGUAGGAGGUAAGAUGAAUUUGUUGUACUGCUGAACACUAGCAGUCCCAUACAAAGACUAGCUAUGUUGCCAGAAAUGGGGAAAAUCUCAAAGCUGGGAAUUUGGACAGCUGUUACUUGCAUGACCUUUGUGCAGAAGAUGCUCCAAGAAAUGGCAGAGUGUCAGAGUAUCUUAAGGAUGGCUAAGUUACAGCUAUUUGAGACACUACAAUAAUAAUAAUCACAUAUCAAAGCAAAUCUGAAUACACAGUCAAUCUCAGAUAAAUGAGGCACAUCCAGUGACACAACAGUAAUUUCAAUAUCUUUAAAACAACAAAGAUUAAUAAUUUACAAUGUGAAAUAUUUUCACAGUGAACCUCUGAAUUAACAAUUUUAAGUGCUUCAAUUGUUUUCAAAAUACAAUACCUCAGAUGAUAGCAAUGCACUGCAGCUAUCAUUACUGAAAGCUAUGUAUCUGUAUCAACUUUAUUUCCUGAUCCAUUACGUCUUUUGUAUCUUUUUUAUUAAGCAAAUGUUUAUCAGAACAUUGUAUUCUUCACAUUUGUGCAGCUAAUGAAUACAGCAUGAAUACCUCACAUAUUGUCAUACUUUUGUAGUUAUUUAAUGAACAGUUUACUAUUUUGCCAGUAACUUUAUUUAAAUGUUGAACGCAAGUGCUGUUAAAAAACUGUGCUAAUUUAAAAGUGGUUAAUCACAUGUGUUAGCUGACAGCACAAUUGAAAAGAGAACCAAAAGAUGCUUCUGUUGAUAAGACAUAAAUAUUUGUUUGAAUAAUGUUUAAUUACAAUCUGUUAUCAUUUAUUAUGAGCUCACUUGUGCGAGAAUAUUGUGUCAUUUAUUUAUCGACAAACUUUAUUUAUGUUUAUUGUGAAUGGUCUGAGUGUGACUGAAUGUUUAAAACAUUUCUUUAUUUAAAUACUGUCAUAAUAUAUUAGCUUAGUCUGGGAAGUGGUCAAGAUGAGUCAGAUCAUGUCUAGAAUGAUGUAUUUUUGCUGGGGAUGACCUUCAGCCAAUGGAAAAGCAGACAGUAGUUGAACAUUGUGUGAGUCAAGUAGAGAUUGAGACUUUUCAAGUGAAGAGCUCAAGACAACGAUUUGGGACACUUCUACAUUUGUGCUGGAAGAACAUAGACCCACCUGUGGUAAUGUUUAUGAUUCAGUCAUAUAGGUGACUGAUUCUGAGUGGUGAACGGCUGCUACAAUACUCUAACUUUUGAGGCUACUCUAAGUCUCAAGAGAUCUGAGUGUGCUCCAUGGCAGGAUUCUAACUUUAUGUGAUUUUAUUACAGGACUGAGAAUAAACAGAGUAUAAGCUACUAUUCUUUGUAUUGUGUGUUUCAGUUUGUGAAUCCUCAUAUUGAACUCUGAACUGUUUUGAGCUGAUGAAUAUGUCAUGUAUGGUGAUUAUGAAAUGGACUUAGUUUCUGCAUGUAUUGAUUAUGAUUUAGUUUGAGGAUUUGCUACCGUUGUAACACUAUCAAUGUAACUUUACUGCAUUUGAUAAGGAUAUUUCCUGUCUGUAUUUUAACUGAGUAUCAUGGGACCACUUUCCAUUUAUUUGAGAUGUACUUUCUUGAAUAAAUGUUAUUCAACAUAA